AUAAAGUUUUAUUUUGGCUUAAAAAAUUAUUUUUAGUUUAGUUUACAUGUAAAUUUUUGUAUGAAUUUUUAUUUAUUUUAAUAAUGAAUUAAAAUUUUUAUUCGCAGUAAUUAAAAUUAUUUUAAUCAAAGAAAUUUGGAGAUAGUAAUAUUAAAGAGUAUAGGCUAAAUUUGUGCCAGCAGCCGCGGUUAUACGAAUUAUACAAAUAAUUUUUUUUUUAAUUAAAGUUAAAUUAUUAUGUAAUAAAAAUGAUAUAAAUUUAUUAAGUGAAAUUUUAAAUUUAUUUAAUUUUAUAAUUAAUUAAUUGAAGCUUGAAAAUUUUAAUUAUAAACUAGGAUUAGAUACCCUAUUAUUUAAAAUGUAUUUAAAAAUUAAGGUAGUAUUAGUUAUGUUCUUUAAACUUAAAAAAUUUGGCGGUAUUUUAGUCUGUUCAGAGGAACCUGUUCUAUAAUCGAUAAUCCACGAUGGACCUAACUUAAUUUUGUAAUCAGUUUAUAUACCGUUGUUAUUAGAAUAUUUUAUAAGAAAGUUAAUUUUCGUAAUUUUAUAAUUUAAAAUUAUAUCAGAUCAAGGUGUAGCUUAUAUUUAAGUAGAAAUGGGUUACAAUAAAAUUAUUUAUAUGAAUAUAAAUUUGCAAUAUUUAUUGAAGGUGGAUUUGAUAGUAAAAUUAUAAAGAUAAAUAAUUUGAUUUUAGCUCUAAAAUAUGUACACAUCGCCCGUCACUCUUUCUAUUAAGGAAAGAUAAGUCGUAACAUAGUAGAUGUACUGGAAAGUGUAUCUAGAAUGCA
rnacentral:ncRNA from 1 species